rnacentral:rRNA from 1 species
AGCGUACACGGUGGAUGCCCUGGCAGUCAGAGGCGAUGAAGGACGUGCUAAUCUGCGAUAAGCGUCGGUAAGGUGAUAUGAACCGUUAUAACCGGCGAUUUCCGAAUGGGGAAACCCAGUGUGUUUCGACACACUAUCAUUAACUGAAUCCAUAGGUUAAUGAGGCGAACCGGGGGAACUGAAACAUCUAAGUACCCCGAGGAAAAGAAAUCAACCGAGAUUCCCCCAGUAGCGGCGAGCGAACGGGGAGCAGCCCAGAGCCUGAAUCAGUGUGUGUGUUAGUGGAAGCGUCUGGAAAGGCGCGCGAUACAGGGUGACAGCCCCGUACACAAAAAUGCACAUGCUGUGAGCUCGAUGAGUAGGGCGGGACACGUGGUAUCCUGUCUGAAUAUGGGGGGACCAUCCUCCAAGGCUAAAUACUCCUGACUGACCGAUAGUGAACCAGUACCGUGAGGGAAAGGCGAAAAGAACCCCGGCGAGGGGAGUGAAAAAGAACCUGAAACCGUGUACGUACAAGCAGUGGGAGCACGCUUCGGCGUGUGACUGCGUACCUUUUGUAUAAUGGGUCAGCGACUUAUAUUCUGUAGCAAGGUUAACCGAAUAGGGGAGCCGAAGGGAAACCGAGUCUUAACUGGGCGUUAAGUUGCAGGGUAUAGACCCGAAACCCGGUGAUCUAGCCAUGGGCAGGUUGAAGGUUGGGUAACACUAACUGGAGGACCGAACCGACUAAUGUUGAAAAAUUAGCGGAUGACUUGUGGCUGGGGGUGAAAGGCCAAUCAAACCGGGAGAUAGCUGGUUCUCCCCGAAAGCUAUUUAGGUAGCGCCUCGUGAACUCAUCUCCGGGGGUAGAGCACUGUUUCGGCAAGGGGGUCAUCCCGACUUACCAACCCGAUGCAAACUGCGAAUACCGGAGAAUGUUAUCACGGGAGACACACGGCGGGUGCUAACGUCCGUCGUGAAGAGGGAAACAACCCAGACCGCCAGCUAAGGUCCCAAAGUCAUGGUUAAGUGGGAAACGAUGUGGGAAGGCCCAGACAGCCAGGAUGUUGGCUUAGAAGCAGCCAUCAUUUAAAGAAAGCGUAAUAGCUCACUGGUCGAGUCGGCCUGCGCGGAAGAUGUAACGGGGCUAAACCAUGCACCGAAGCUGCGGCAGCGACGCUUAUGCGUUGUUGGGUAGGGGAGCGUUCUGUAAGCCUGUGAAGGUGUACUGUGAGGUAUGCUGGAGGUAUCAGAAGUGCGAAUGCUGACAUAAGUAACGAUAAAGCGGGUGAAAAGCCCGCUCGCCGGAAGACCAAGGGUUCCUGUCCAACGUUAAUCGGGGCAGGGUGAGUCGACCCCUAAGGCGAGGCCGAAAGGCGUAGUCGAUGGGAAACAGGUUAAUAUUCCUGUACUUGGUGUUACUGCGAAGGGGGGACGGAGAAGGCUAUGUUGGCCGGGCGACGGUUGUCCCGGUUUAAGCGUGUAGGCUGGUUUUCCAGGCAAAUCCGGAAAAUCAAGGCUGAGGCGUGAUGACGAGGCACUACGGUGCUGAAGCAACAAAUGCCCUGCUUCCAGGAAAAGCCUCUAAGCAUCAGGUAACAUCAAAUCGUACCCCAAACCGACACAGGUGGUCAGGUAGAGAAUACCAAGGCGCUUGAGAGAACUCGGGUGAAGGAACUAGGCAAAAUGGUGCCGUAACUUCGGGAGAAGGCACGCUGAUAUGUAGGUGAAGUCCCUCGCGGAUGGAGCUGAAAUCAGUCGAAGAUACCAGCUGGCUGCAACUGUUUAUUAAAAACACAGCACUGUGCAAACACGAAAGUGGACGUAUACGGUGUGACGCCUGCCCGGUGCCGGAAGGUUAAUUGAUGGGGUUAGCGGUAACGCGAAGCUCUUGAUCGAAGCCCCGGUAAACGGCGGCCGUAACUAUAACGGUCCUAAGGUAGCGAAAUUCCUUGUCGGGUAAGUUCCGACCUGCACGAAUGGCGUAAUGAUGGCCAGGCUGUCUCCACCCGAGACUCAGUGAAAUUGAACUCGCUGUGAAGAUGCAGUGUACCCGCGGCAAGACGGAAAGACCCCGUGAACCUUUACUAUAGCUUGACACUGAACAUUGAGCCUUGAUGUGUAGGAUAGGUGGGAGGCUUUGAAGUGUGGACGCCAGUCUGCAUGGAGCCGACCUUGAAAUACCACCCUUUAAUGUUUGAUGUUCUAACGUUGACCCGUAAUCCGGGUUGCGGACAGUGUCUGGUGGGUAGUUUGACUGGGGCGGUCUCCUCCUAAAGAGUAACGGAGGAGCACGAAGGUUGGCUAAUCCUGGUCGGACAUCAGGAGGUUAGUGCAAUGGCAUAAGCCAGCUUGACUGCGAGCGUGACGGCGCGAGCAGGUGCGAAAGCAGGUCAUAGUGAUCCGGUGGUUCUGAAUGGAAGGGCCAUCGCUCAACGGAUAAAAGGUACUCCGGGGAUAACAGGCUGAUACCGCCCAAGAGUUCAUAUCGACGGCGGUGUUUGGCACCUCGAUGUCGGCUCAUCACAUCCUGGGGCUGAAGUAGGUCCCAAGGGUAUGGCUGUUCGCCAUUUAAAGUGGUACGCGAGCUGGGUUUAGAACGUCGUGAGACAGUUCGGUCCCUAUCUGCCGUGGGCGCUGGAGAACUGAGGGGGGCUGCUCCUAGUACGAGAGGACCGGAGUGGACGCAUCACUGGUGUUCGGGUUGUCAUGCCAAUGGCACUGCCCGGUAGCUAAAUGCGGAAGAGAUAAGUGCUGAAAGCAUCUAAGCACGAAACUUGCCCCGAGAUGAGUUCUCCCUGACUCCUUGA